CGCCUGUUUAACAAAAACAUGUCUUUUUGUAUAUUUAUAAAAAGUCUAACCUGCCCACUGAAUAAUUAAAUGGCCGCAGUAUAUUAACUGUGCAAAGGUAGCAUAAUCAUUAGUCUUUUAAUUGAAGGCUGGUAUGAAUGGUUGGACGAAAUAUUAACUGUUUCAUAAAAAAUUAUAAUAGAAUUUUAUUUUUUAGUAAAAAAGCUAAAAUAAAAUUAAAAGACGAGAAGACCCUAUAAAUCUUUAUAUUUAAGUUAUUUUAAAAUUGUAGAUUUUUUAAUUUUAUAGUAAUAAUUAAUAUUUUAUUGGGGUGAUAUUAAAAUUUAAUAAACUUUUAAUUUUUAGAAUCAUUAAUUUAUGAAUAAUUGAUCCGUUUUUAACGAUUAUAAAUUUAAGUUACUUUAGGGAUAACAGCGUAAUUUUUUUUGAGAGUUCUUAUCGAUAAAAAAGAUUGCGACCUCGAUGUUGGAUUAAGAUAUAAUUUUAGGUGUAGAAGCUUAAACUUUAAGUCUGUUCGACUUUUAAAUUCUUACGUGAUCUGAGUUCAGACCGG
rnacentral:rRNA from 1 species